ensembl:lncRNA
AUGGAAGUUGUGAAAACAGAAAAGGUCAAAGUUUCAAAUGCUGUUUUAAUCAGUGGGUUAACUGAUACAGACCUUGAUAACGAAGUCUUUGGGUUUAUGGAAGGAUUCGGACCAGUUAACAGGCGCAUUAAGUUACCAAACUGUGAUCAGAUUAUUGUGGAGUUUCAACAUGAAGCCACUGUUAAGGAAUUAAAGAAACAAUGUUUACCCUAUGACAAACCUUGUACUAGGAACCCAGAUGUUUUCUUCCAUAUUCAAGACCUAGCCAGCGCGUACAGUCUAGAAACUAGCACAUCUGCCACUGAUGCCUAUCUGUCAGAGCUCAGGGACAUAGCUGCGCGUAGCAAUCAAUCAUUUAAAGACCUUCUAAUGGAGGAACUGGCAAAAAUUGGGGAAUCUUUAGGAAGGGAUACCCAUGCAUCUGAACCAGUCACUGAACCAGAGCCAAUGCUCCAUAGUGACCAAGUUACAUAUUCCCUGCCUUUAACACCAGAAGUUAACUAUAUGAACAACUCAAAGGACAAUUGUCCACCUACAGAGACUGGAAAACAAAACCCUUGCAUUCCACCAAAUCUUUUAAACACACCUGAGGUUCAGCGAGUUAUUGUGGAACACAUUGUUAAAAGCAGUGAGGUUAUCCCUCCGCCUACUUCACAAUACAGACUAAAACCGUUCUCAGGGCGAGUUCCACACCCUUCUUUUGAAACUGACUAUGAUACUUGGCGUAGUAGUGUAGUGUUAUGCAUAAAUGAUCCUUCACUCACCAAGUCCCAAAUUGUACGAAGAAUCGUGGAGAGUCUGUCAGCCCCAGCAGCGAGCAUCGUUAAAGCUCUUAGUCCAAAAUCCGACCCGGAAACGUACCUUGAACAUCUCGAUUCAGCUUACGCAGCUGUCGAAGACGGCGACGAGCUCUUUGCUCGCUUCUUAAACACAAACCAGGACAGUGGUGAAAAACCUUCCGAUUACUUUCAGAGGUUAUACACCUUGUUAAACCUAGUUAUUCAGAGGAAUGGAAUUUCCUCCAGUGACGCCGACCAGCAGCUGCUCAAGCAGUUUUGCAGAGGCUGUUGGGACAGCUCGCUGAUUUCAAACCUGCAACUCGAACAAAAGAAAGACAACCCGCCUCAUUUUACAGCACUUCUCCUCAAACUGCGCACUGAAGAAGACAAACAGGCUACUAAAGCAGCACGCAUGAAACAACACUUAGGGGCACAACGAACUAGAGUGUAUUCAAAUGUGCAAACAACAUGCUCUCAGAGUAAAAACACUUGUGAACUGGAAAUAGAUGAUAACUGUGAUGACUUACGCAAACAAAUCGCUGAGCUCAGGAGCCAAAUUGCACAGCUUAAGGUUAACAACACAGAUAAAAAGGCAAAGAAAACUCAAAAAGAGUCAAAACCCCGUGUGGGGACUAAAAUUCCAGAUGAGCCCAAACAGAUUCAGCAGAUAACAGCAGUGGUGCCCAGACCAAAGCCUGGAUACUGUUUUAAGUGCGGAGAAGAUGGGCACAUAGCUUCUAGCUGUAGCAACGAGCCAAAUCCAGCACUAGUUGCAACUAAAAGACUUGCUCUUAGACAGAAGCAGCGCGAGUGGGAGAUGUCAAAGCCAAUUGCUCAGUCUCCUCCUUUAAACCGGUAG